rnacentral:rRNA from 1 species
UGAACGCUGACGGCGUGCCUAAUACAUGCAAGUCGAGCGAACGGACGAGAAGCUUGCUUCUCUGAUGUUAGCGGCGGACGGGUGAGUAACACGUGGAUAACCUACCUAUAAGACUGGGAUAACUUCGGGAAACCGGAGCUAAUACCGGAUAAUAUUUUGAACCGCAUGGUUCAAAAGUGAAAGACGGUCUUGCUGUCACUUAUAGAUGGAUCCGCGCUGCAUUAGCUAGUUGGUAAGGUAACGGCUUACCAAGGCAACGAUGCAUAGCCGACCUGAGAGGGUGAUCGGCCACACUGGAACUGAGACACGGUCCAGACUCCUACGGGAGGCAGCAGUAGGGAAUCUUCCGCAAUGGGCGAAAGCCUGACGGAGCAACGCCGCGUGAGUGAUGAAGGUCUUCGGAUCGUAAAACUCUGUUAUUAGGGAAGAACAUAUGUGUAAGUAACUGUGCACAUCUUGACGGUACCUAAUCAGAAAGCCACGGCUAACUACGUG